CAGUGGAAUUGACAGUUUCUUUUUUCCUCCCAUUCGAAAGUCUAUCGGCCAGUCGUUUUCAUAAAUACGAUUUUUGGUUGUUUUUGUUUUUUUUCUUGGGUCCGUCUCCUGUCACCGGCGUAUACCAUAUAGCUGGUCAUUGGGCUGCACGGCACGGGGCUGGUAACACGGUACGCACGGGACUAUAGCUUGAGAGGUUAGCGAGCUGUGUGUUUCGUAAAGUCUUGUUUGAUACUUUAUGACCGUUAUUAUUAGUCUAGCCACUGCCGCCGCAGCUGUAUUGACAUUUGAUGGCCGCCGAGUCCUCCGCCCUGCCGUGCUAAAUAUACCGGUCUAGUGUGUACCUCGUCGCACGAACGCAAGGAUCGUUUCAAGUUUAUUUUUUAUUUUUUAAUAAAUGUAGGAAAUGGGGUUUGGUGUUUGUCGGGAGUCAUCGACGAGAUGUCAAAAGCAAUAAGUAUUAUUUUCUCUCUUGGCUUCCAAGAGGGACCUGGAGGGUUUUAUUGUGAUGGUUUAAAAGUAAUUCUCUGAGGGUUUCCUGUAAUUUUUUUUUAUUUUUAUCUUAACUCUGGUAGAGGAGAUCUGGAUUUGGGGUGAGGAUCGAUUUUUAAUUAGUUCUAUCGAUAUCUUAAAAGCGCGGUAAUUAAUUAAAAGAAUAGUGUCGUCUGCUCAUUAAAUGACAAAAAUUGUGGUCUCGGGGUGACAUCUUGUCUCGUGGCUCUUUAUGGAAUAACUUAACACACACCCUGUAUUGUUAAUCAGAUUUGAGGCCUGAGCCAGCCAUCAUAACCACAAGAAGACAAGUCUUUCAUUCAACAAAAUCAGUAUCAUCACUUUUGGAUAAACAGCAUCCAUCUUUGAUUGGAGAAACUACCGAUCGAGUUACGAAUCUCUCCUUCCCCUUUCUCGAGUGUGGGUGCAGUCACGAGGACACCCUUAUUCCUAUCUCGUCUAGUGGAUUCAACUAGUCUUCGGAUGGAUGGAGCACUUACAGUGGAUGCCUGGCUGUAUUUCCCAGGCUUAAAGGGGAAUCCUAUCAUUGAAGAACAACAUUGCUGCUGCUGGGCUGGGCUGCUGUGGAAUCCACACAGUAACGAAAGUUGAACUAUUUCCUCCUUCAACUUCUCAUCUGCCCGUCAGGAAUGUGACGACGGGUUUUUUCCCAAGGUUUUUCCGGCCAUUGAAACUGAAAUGCCCCCCGA